GAUGAACGCUAGCUACAGGCUUAACACAUGCAAGUCGAGGGGAAACGACAUCGAAAGCUUGCUUUUUAUGGGCGUCGACCGGCGCACGGGCGAGUAACGCGUAUCCAACCUUCCCAUCACUUGGGAAUAACCUUGCGAAAGUAAGCCUAAUACUCAAUGAUAUCCCACGAAGGCAUCGGAAUGGGCUUAAAGUUUUAUUGGUGAUGGGUGGGGAUGCGUCUGAUUAGCUUGUUGGCGGGGUAACGGCCCACCAAAGCAACGAUCAGUAGGAGUUCUGAGAGGACGGUCCCCCUCAUUGGAGCUGGCAUACGGUCCAACCUCCUACGCGACGCAGCAGUCAGGAAUAUUACGCAGUGGACGAUAACCUGAACCAGCCAAGUAGCGAGCAGGCUGUCGGCCCUAUGGGUUAUUAUCUGCUUUUAUAAGGGAGUAAAGUGAGUCACGUGUGAAUGUUUGAAUGUACCUUAUGAAUAAGGACCGGCUAAUUCCGUG
rnacentral:rRNA from 1 species